AGGAUAAACGCUGGCGGCGUGCAUGAGACAUGCAAGUCGAACGGACGAUCAGGGCUUGCUCUGAUCGUUAGUGGCGGACGGCUGAGUAACGCGUAGGUGACCUGCCCCGAAGUGGGGAAUAACUGCCCGAAAGGGUGGCUAAUACCGCAUGUGGUGGUGUGUUCAUUCACACCAGUAAAGCCGCAAGGCGCUUCGGGAGGGGCCUGCGUCCGAUUAGCUCGUUGGUGGGGUAACGGCUCACCAAGGCGACGAUCGGUAGGUGGUCUGAGAGGACGAUCACCCAGACUGGGACUGAGACACGGCCCAGACUCCUACGGGAGGCAGCAGUCGGGAAUUUUGCGCAAUGGACGAAAGUCUGACGCAGCAACGCCGCGUGAGGGAUGAAGGCCUUCGGGUUGUAAACCUCUUUUAUCAGGGAAGAUAAUGACGGUACCUGAUGAAUAAGUCACGGCUAACUACGCGCCAGCAGCCGCGGU
rnacentral:rRNA from 1 species